CCCACCUGACGAGUUCCAUAUAGGACGAAACGCGCGUCUUGAAG
rfam:Schistosoma curassoni strain Dakar, Senegal genome assembly, scaffold: SCTD_contig0003989